rnacentral:rRNA from 1 species
UACGAAGGGGGCUAGCGUUGCUCGGAAUCACUGGGCGUAAAGGGUGCGUAGGCGGGUCUUUAAGUCAGGGGUGAAAUCCUGGAGCUCAACUCCAGAACUGCCUUUGAUACUGAAGAUCUUGAGUCCGGGAGAGGUGAGUGGAACUGCGAGUGUAGAGGUGAAAUUCGUAGAUAUUCGCAAGAACACCAGUGGCGAAGGCGGCUCACUG